GGGCUGGAGGAAGAUGGCGGUGAACCAGAACCACACGGAGAACCGCCGCGGGGCCGUCAUCCCUUAUGGUGAAAGUGUCUUGAAGCAGUGUCAGGAUGUGGAGCUCUCCUUUCCACAGCAACCAGAGGGAUCCAAUUUCUUCAGUGGUACAAAGAGGGGAAUAUUGUUUCUCACUUCACACAGGGUAAUCUUUGUGACUUCACACUCAGCCAGUGAUCCCAUGUUUUCUUUUAUGAUGCCAUUUGAUCUGAUGAGUAACUGUACCAUUGAACAACCCGUCUUUGCCCCCAACUACAUUAAGGGAACCAUUCAGGCAGCUCCAGAUGGUGGCUGGGAAGGACAGGCUACUUUUAAAUUAGCCUUCAGAAAAGGAGGUGCCAUCAAAUUCGGCCAAUUGAUGAUGAAAGCUGCCUCUGCUGCUGCCCAAGGAGCUCCACUUGGAAGUGUAAAUUACUGGCUUGGUGCUCCAGGACUGUAUUUCUUUACUGGGCAGGGGAGCAUGAUGUGCAGCCAAGAGGUGCCUUGUCCAGCAUACCCAGUUAUUAUGUAUGGGCCCCAACCUGUGAGAUAUGGAGCCCCAUCGGGGGGAUACGGAGCCCCACCAGCGGGAUAUGGAGCCCCACUAGCAGGAUAUGGAGCCUCGCCUCUGUUAUACGGAGCCCAACCUACAGGAUAUGGAGCCCCACCAGCGGGAUAUGGAGCCCCAUCGGGGGGAUACGGAGCCCCACCAGCGGGAUAUGGAGCCCCAUCGGGGGGAUACGGAGCCCCACCAGCAGGAUAUGGAGCCCCAUCGGGGGGAUACGGAGCCCCACCAGCGGGAUACGGAGCCCCACCAGAGGCAUCUGAAGCUCUGUCUGCAGGAUAUGGAGCCCCACCAGAGAGAUAUGAAUCUCCACCUGUGGGAUAUGGAGCCCUACCAGCAGGAUCUGAAGCCUCGCCUGCAGGAUAUGGAACCCCACUAGCUGGAAAUGAAACCCCACCUUUGGGAUAUGAAACUGCACCUACCAAAAAUAGAGCCGGGUCUCACAAAUCUGCAGCAGCCCAACCUGCUGAAUAUGAGGCUUCUCUUCCUUCUGCCUCAUCUACUCAGGCCCAUUCACCACCAUCUGAGAAGUAAACCCUGAAGACUUACCAAGCAAAGUAGCACCCUGAAAUUGAAGUCAGGAUAAGGACACAAGUGCCGAGCAGUAGGAGGAGUUUCCUGUGCAAGUAGUGGCCUGAUCCUCCCCCCACAUCUGUGAGGUCCUGGUGAGCUUUGAGUCCCUUUUCCUGCUGCGGGCUUGAUCCCCGUGUUCAGAGGGCCUGUGUCAAAGGCAGUAGCGUAGUUCAAAGGAGGGCUCAGGUUGCUCAUGGGACCAGAAGAUUGGUUCCAGAUCUGCCGCUGCCUUGUAACUGGGCUGUGGGGGGUGCUGGGAGCCUGAGACCAGCUGCCUUUGAGCCAGCUCAGCUGGCACAGGAAAGAGAAUCCUGAGAUCUUUGAGUUUUUCAUGGCCUCAUGGCCUCAUCCCUUUAUCACAGUCCCAGAUCUGAAGGCUCUGCUGCAUUAAUUGCCUUAAUGGUGCCCCCUGAGUAAAGGGUACUUAUGACGAUGGAAGGUGAAGAGUUUAAGAGGGGCACUAAUUGCGUCAAGUGCCUGGCCCAUUUAUUAACUAUGUUUGUGCCAAGCACCCUGCCAAGCACUUUACAUAUAUAAUUUAGCAAGGUGAGUGCUUGGACCCCAAUCUCAUAGAUGAAGAAACGAAGCAAACUGCCGAAGGCACACAGCUGACUAGGAAGUGACACGGCAGGAUCUGAACGUAGGUUUCCCUUUUCAUUCACACACUCAUUCAUUUAUUGAGGGCCUUUUCCAUGCCGUUUCUGUGUGCUUGGGGUAUCAGUGACCAAAACAGACAAAUUCCUGCUCUUAUGGGGCUUACAUAAUACUAAGAUGCAGUCAGUACAUAUUAUGUUACAUGAUAUAACUAGGCAUAUCAUAUUCAAACUGUAGAAAAAGCAAAAACAGACGUUGAUAAGAGCUAUGAAAAAAUAUAGAACAACGUAAGGGAGACUGGGAGCACUAAGGGGUUGGCAGAGGGAGCAGUGUGCAGUGCAGCCUUGUUGAGAAGUUAAUAUCUGAAUAAAGACUUGAAAGAUAAAGGAGGUGAGGGAACUGGCCAUGCAGAUACCUGGGGAAAAGUGUUCUGGGCCUAGGGAACAGCUAGUAUAAAGGCAGCUUAAUUCCAAGGUGCCUUCCCUUAUACCCAGUGCCUCAAAACAGUUGAAUGUGAGAAGACUGUUCUCAAGGAAGGAAAAUGCUCGAAAACAUUGCAAGCCAACCACAGUAAGAGAUCUGAACCAGUCCAUGUAAAACAGCUUGGGCAUGGACAUUGAUUUCUGGGUCCUCGUCAGGUAACAGGCAUCCUUCCUGUCUACAUCUUAAGGACAAAAAAGAAGUUAAAGUAACUGAAGAGGCUGGGUCACUCUGGUUUCACACCCUCGAUUAAAGUCUGCUUGCUGUAGCAUACCUCUGCUGUGGUCUUGCUCUGUUUCUGAGGGCAUCUGCUAUAUGGCCUGGUUCUGGUGCCUUGGGACCACCCAAUAGGACAGCUUGGAUGUGCCCAGUGUCUCAGCUUCCUGGCUGGGCUCUGUACUUGUCCUGCUUCAACUGUUCCAUUAUCUGGUUCCAAGAGAGAUGGAUCUUCUCAGUGCUAAAGUCUCUGGAUCCUCUUGAUGGAGCAUUUGCCUAAGUCGGGGAAGUCUGUUUUCCGACUUUCCAUGGAAAGGAGUGCCAGAAUAAAUCGAUGUGAGAGCUUGUAGGCUGACCACUUGCUUGUUGUGCUGCCCAAAAUUGUGCUGUCGGCUUCCUAAGGAUCAGUUCAGGUUAAGUACUUACUGAGGCUGCUCUGUGCCAGCCGUGCUCUGAGGAAUCUGAUACACCCUGACCUUGAGGGGUACACAGACUGCUCCAGAGAUCGACAUUUGCAUUACGUUUUGCAAGUGUCCACCCUGUCCUGGACCCCACAUACCCCUAAAAUAUAGGAUGGGAGCAGGUAGGUACCUCACCCUUGGUGUGGUCCCUCCUCCUGUUGGCUUGCUCUGAGAAUCUUAACUUCCCUUGGUCCUCAGACUUUUGGUUUGGGCUUGGAGAACUAUUUUAGAAAUAUUUAUGCUCAAGCUUGGGCUUCUCCCUUGGACCCAAUUCUGGCAUUAGACCUCUGGCUUUUACCUGAUGACCAAUGAGAGAGAGGGAGAGAGAGAGGAGACUACUAAUUUCUGACAAAAGUGUAAUGAUAGAGGUCUGCAUGGGGAUUAGAGGAUGGGCUCUGAUCAGCUUAAGGUGCUCCUGUCACCUUCCUGAAGAAGGGGAUGCCUGCAUUGCUUUGAUGCCCCAACCAGGAAGCUCUUUGGUCUGGGUAUGUGGUCCAGCCUUAAU